rnacentral:SRP_RNA from 1 species
GCCAGGUGUGGUGGCGCACACCUGCAGUCCCAGCUACUCAGGAGGCUGAGGUGAGAGGAUCACCUGAGCCCAGGAGGUCGAGGCUGCAGUGAGCUGUGAUCACAUCACUGCACUCUGGCCUGGGUGACAGAGUGAGAUCCUGUCUCAA